rnacentral:misc_RNA from 1 species
CAAAAAAUGAUUAUGUUUCUUCUCUCUUACUACUCAACAAAAUUUGACUAACGCUAAGAAAGAAGAAAAUGUACAGAAAUGAUGCAUCUCUUUUCUCUUUUUGACUUUUUAUGUUUGUUUUUACUCUCUUCUCUUGCAUUGUCGUUGAGCUACAGUACAAGGGAAGCACAUAUCUAUUUAGAGCUCAAUCACACUUCUCAAUCUCUCAGAAUCGAUCAACAAAUAGCAGUUGUCUUGUACAGAGAAGAAAACAUCAAGGUAAUGGCACUUAUAGCUUUCACAUCUGGGACCUGAACUGACCUGAUUGUGGCUUCUUCUCCUACUAAGGUCAAUAAAGGGAAGCAUAUAUAUGCAUUACAAGUACUUCUGGCGAUAUACAAAUGGCUCAACAGGAAGAAGGGUGGCCUCUGGGUUUACAGCCCCUGAAUGUGAGAGUUGGUUUACCUAGAAAUGGUGAAUUUUCUGGAUCAGUAUCAUUCAACACUUUACUCACUGGUUCUCCAACUUCCUCAACAGAUUCCUCAUCAGAUUUAGACACAGAGGUCAGUAGAGAUGGCAGAAAAUUUAUUUAAUUUUUUUUUUUCUUUUGGUACCUAAAUUUCUCCAUUCGUCAUUACCCUUGAGUUUUAGGGGCUUAAUUUAGGAUUUUAAGUACCCAAAAAGACAUAUAUGACACUACUAGGACUGUAGCUCGUAUAGUUGUUUUUGUUUCCUUUUGGUUUGUUUUGUUCAUGCCUAAAUAUGCUUGACGAUUCUGCUAUUUAACUCGAAAUUAAUUGCUGUUUCCUGACAUGGUUCUCUGUUUCAACAGUUGGGCUUAAUGAAACAAUCUGCACUCAUUUGAAAGGAGACUAUUUGGGCAUUGAAGCAAAGUUUUUCUUAAUGCUUAUAAUGAACCCCACAUUCCAUGGGGUAAUGCACACUAUAAUGAUUUGGUUCCCUAAUCAUUUCAAUGCACAAACACUUCAUUAUUUUGGGUCUGGUGAACUGUUACUUGAUUUUUUACUUAAAAAAAUCGUAGUUAUGUUAUAUAUUGAUAAUUCCAAGUAUUACUACAUGUUAGUCUAAGUAAUGUGGACCUAAGCAAUGCCUUCAAACAGUUCUUGAUUCUGAUAGUUUUUGCAUAUCAACCAUUCAUUUAAGAACAUAUCUUGCAUUUUUGUCCAGAUUAAGCUUAAAAGUUCUGUGAAUGCAGAGAGUGUGGAAGGCCAGAAUUUGUCAAAAGAGAGCAAUGAAGCUAAAACACAGGACUUAUUAAGCUUCUCAGUACUUGGAAACCUCAAAACCUCAUUUUGCAGAACUUGGCUGGACUUUUUUCAACCUUUAUUGUGACUUGGAUGUUUAAGCAGAUAAAAAAUUGAAUUUUUACACAAUCUGGUAUUAUUUGGCUAAUCUGUCUCAUUUUUCUCUAUGAAUAAUUCAGUCUACAGGAUCUUUCUUCCAUGACAGAAGCAUUACGCUUGGGAGCCUUAUCGGUGUUUCUAACAUAUUGGAGUUCUCUAGGAAAUCAUCAAGGGUAAGGAAAGUGAAAGUGUUAAAGGACAAGAAGAGCGACAAGAAACACAAAACGUGGAUUUUCUCUUUAUGUUCAAGAGAAACCACUGACGCCCAAAGUGUGAACAAUGCUCCUCCUCUUGCCCACUUUCUUGCUGUGGAGAGAAGAGCAGCCAAUGAAUAUAGAAGGAAUCAAAGACCUAAUACAUAUGAUGAACUUUCCUUAGCUCAGCCUUUCACAGAACCUAAUUCACUAUUUGUUAAUGGCAGAGUUGCUCCUCCUAGAGUGAGUCCAUAUGAGACUGAUAGUGAAAAGAGAAGAAAUGGAGGGUUAGAGCAUGGUAAUGGGCAUGGAGUUCCAGUCCUAUUUUCUUGCAUGUGUGGACAGCCCUGUUAGGAACUAAGCUUGUCCAAAAAUUUUUUUGUCUUCCAUUGAUGAUUUGAUCUUCAUGUCCUAGGUAGGGGAACUGAAAAAUAAACUCAGUUUUUGUUUGUCUUUGGAUCAAUGUCUUACACAUAUAGUCCAUUUUACACCAAUGGACUCACAUAUAUUCUUGUGCUAGUGCAGAGGUAUCUCGCAUGGUUAGCUGAUAUUGUUGUCAUUUAGCAUGAUCUUAAUCUGUGAUUAAUUUUUUAACUGGCAAUUUGG